AAGCAGGAAUAGCAACGUUCGUGACCGCAAGAAUCGAUCAAUCGACGUUUUUUCCCUUUGUCGAAUGGCAUCUCGCAGGAUGGACAGGUUGAUCCACCUAACAUACCCGUGGACUCCACCAGCGCUCGGAUCUGGGCCAGAUCUGUGGAAUCUACAACUCUAAAAUCAGCAACAAAUCGUGUAACCGGAAUGCAAACUGUAUCCUAUCUCCAUCAAAUCUAAAUUCUCACGUUAUCGUCUACGAUAUGAUCCUGGGAGUGAAACGUUGCCCCCAAGAAGACGCAGACGUUCCCUAAGAAGAACUGUAAUAACAGUAAAAACGCUUGUUAACCAUUUUCGCGCGUGCUCCGAGAAUAGGAGGAAGGGGAAGCGAAACGGGAAAAAACGGUACGUCGAAGAGGCCGCGACUUCCUUGUGAGACGCAGAUCGAUGUUCCACUUAACAACGAGUUCGCGAGUUUGACAGCCAGAGACCAACUGUCACGAAGAAUCUGCACAGGGCACACCGGUAUCUCGCUACCGCAAAUCAAUCGGUGCGUCUUCUUAAUCCUUUGAUUUACGACCUUAUUAUAUCCUUACUAUCAGGAGUAUCAAGAGGACCACAAGGAUAUUAGAGGCAGUUCGACGUUCACGAAGAAGAGGUAGAAAACUCAGGAUGUGUUGAACGGGUCAAGCUAUGCAAAUUGUAGAUUAAUACGAUCAUGCUGAGCAGUUGAGGCAGUUAAGACGUGGGCGGUACCGUUGCGAUCACUCUGUGUAAUUGAACAGUUAGGGGCGAGAAUGCAACGAAUCUAGGUCCAUUAAAUGGCACAAUGGUCUAUGUUCCGAGAAACAUGAAGAUUUUUUGCUUAACCUCUUGUCCUAUGACCUUUUAGCGCCUGAGCGAACUUCGCUCGCUACAUAUUACAAGAACCUACUUGUUACUUGGAAAGAGUUAAUAGAGUUCUUUUGAGAACUAUUGAAAAUGUCACGGUACCAAUAUUAAAAGAACAUGUUAUGGAGAAACAGCAACUGGUGGCUGUCUACAGAUUCCACCGCCCGUUAAAGUCUCUCCUAAGAGAACCAAACCUAUAAACGACGUUUCCCCAGUCAUGUUGGUGGUACGACGGUUCAUUCACAUAUACCGUAAUCCAGGACAACCUCUUGCCAAUCUAAAGGCAACCUCUGGCAGCUGACCGAGUAGCUCGAGUCGAAGCGUGAUUUCGCGGGUUACUCAGAUGGAAUGACGCGGCGAACGUUGAAAGAAGGAAGUAAUUCGGGUCGCACGACCCUUUAUCCCGGUAAGUCCACGUCGAGGCAGGUGCAACACACUGCCUGGGUUACCGUAAGCUGGGUCAACGCACCCAGGAGAGAUGCAGAAAGAGAGAGAGAGAGAGAGAGAGAGAGGAUCGUAUAGUCGCUUCCACGGUAAACUCGUACAACGAUGUCGUUUUCUCCGGAGGCAUCACUGACUCACGCGUUUCCGCCGCGUGUAUAUCCAGUUUCCAUCCUCUCCGCAUCGGCAGUUCUCGCGAGAUUUAUAGACAGAAAGAGAGGAGUUCCGAGAGCCGAGGAGAAGUCGAAGGUCGAGGAAACGUCCAUAAGAUGUACACUUUUUCCUUUCUUCCGUCUGGCAAUUUCUUCUCCGUUUCUGGCUAUGUAUAUUUAAUUAAUGGUGAUCUAGUGUCUCGUUAAUUGCGCUGGCUGUCUUGACGUACAAGUUAUACCCAUUAGAUUGGCGCAUAUUAAACUUCGUUUUAACACCACUUGGUUUAUUUGAAAUAAUAUACAUUUAAUCGAUAACUUGCAGGUGAUUCAAUAUACUUUCUCAAUAAUAUACCACGUUACGUUAUUUGAAAUUUAUAUAUAAACUGCGGAUAUUUACGCAUUUGUAUAUAGCUAACUCCAUAAAUCGAAAAGCAGGAAAAAUGACAUUACAAACGCUAAUUUUUAAUUUACCUUAAAAUUUACUACUAUCCAUAUCAUGCUGUUUUGAUAAAUAAACUGAUUUGAAAUCAGUCGUUUCUUCUUUAUAAACAGUAUAUCUCACAACGCUUUUGUGCACCGAUCUAGAACUACUCGAUAAAUAAAACAUCCUAGCGAUCUUUUUCUCCAACGAAGAUACGUCGAUUAGUCGAACAAGGACGACUAAGCACGUUUUUCCUGGACGUUUACGAGACGAACGACACAGAUUCGUUUCAUGAUCUUUUUUUUCAUUCGCUUCUGCUAUCGCGGAUUAAGCGAGAACAGCAGUUUUUGUCGAUGCUCGAAAAAGAAACUCAAUCGACGGAGGCACUCUCGGGUAUAUUAAGUCCACGUUUUUUCCGUUUAGCGACGAUAGUCACGAUCUAGACACGUUUUACUUGCUGACAUUUUGUAUUGUAAUUUAAUGGUCUUCUUCGGCUCGCCGGUUUUUUACUCGCCCCUGCACCCGCUCGAUCUAACAAGGCGAGAACGAGCAUCGUGGUUGAACAUAGUAGAGAACUCGGUGCGCCGCGACCCGUAUAAAUCCGGCAUCUAUUAUUCCCACGUUUCCUAGACCGUGACGGUUCUUCGAAACAUCAAAAGGCUCGAUCGAGUAGGAGUUCUCUCGGAGCUUUGUGAAUGCUUCUUGUUCUUUUUUUCUUUUUUCUAGUAUUCGAAUUUUUCUCUUGCAGGAUCAUAGGGCAGGCCUCCAGCCACUUUUCAACUUUCUCCAAUUAUUCCGCAAACCGCGAGAAUUACGAUGCCGCAUCGUCGACGCUUUCGUGGAAAAUGACUUGAUUUCUUAUCAACAGCAACCAGGGAAUCGUACAUACACGGAUCUUUGAUCAUGGAGGUCUAAUGUCGUUUUAUUUCUUACGAUUCUUUUCAAUCCAAUUUUAAUCCUUUAGUUAUAGUGUGGUUACGCAUGCAGUCAUUGACGCGUGUCGAUAUCGGCAAACGGUUCCGCAUUCUUCACCCUUUGGCGAACUCUGCAGUGCCGAACCAGUCGCAGCGUUGUACUUUUGCGUUUCGAUUUUAUAGCGGCAAAUAGAAUCGAAAAAACGAUUCAUGGUGUUAUAGAACCGACUUAAAUAUCACGGACGUAUUCUGUAUUUAUUCGUUUGUGCAGAAUUUUUCUCUUCUCUUCCCUUCUUCACGAUGAAUGGUUCUAUCGAAUUACUUUGAGCCACGAAGCUCUUUUAGGGUAACACGGUUACAGGUAAAGCAGGCAUUUCUCAAACUAUCUGUUAAGUAUCGGUACGUCGGUGCUGUUUCGUCAUAGGGGUUCUAAUCGAUUGCGUCCUUGUUUUUUCCAAGUUAAAUGAUCAAAUGACAUACGAUCUAAGAAUACUAAUUCUUAUUUUAAUAAAUAAAUAAUUGAGAACGAUGACUUCUUGCCAUUCGUCUAUCUGCAAUAUUAUCAAAUAAUAUAUUAAAGUAUAUCGAACAAUUCUUUUUGGUCUUUGACAACUUUGACUAAAAGAGCUUUGUGGCUCAAAGUAAUUCGAUAGAACCAUUCAUUGUUAAGGAGGGAAGAGAAGAGAAAAAUUCUGCACAAACGAAUAAAUACAGAAUACGUCCGUGAUAUUUAAGUCCGUUCUCGAUUGAUUCUUCCACUGAAACCAUCGCAAAUCGUUAAAUCCAGCCUGUUCCCGUUCUACCUUCUCCUCUGCUUACGAACCAAGCUCUUCCUCUCUUUCUGGCUUCGUUGGUACGUUGGUGUUCGAACAAUAUUAGCGGGACGGCGAUAAAAUACGACAUAGCCGAGCAACAGAGCGAGAACGAGUGCGAUUAAAGCCCGCUCACGAGCCGAGGGAACGGAGCAGAACGACGCGACGUCCGCACCAGGGGCCACCUGUCCUGGUCUCCCCAGUCGCUGUUUCCGUUCUCCGUUGCGCUCUCUUGCUCCUGGGCCAUGCUGCGUCCUCGUAAAUUGGUACCCCGUCGCCGACUGGCUGACCCGAAUCGAGAUACUGGCCGGGGAAACACCGUUUUUCAUUUACGCCGCUUUCGUUCUCGUUUUGACACCAAGUUCGUACGACAGGUUUACCAUCGAUAUUUUGAUAAUGCAUACAUUUAAUCGUGAAAACAAAAUUGCCGUAGAAUUAUAUUUAUGGGAGGAAUUUUUUUUUUAAGCGUUACGCAAUAUUUUCUUGUAAAAUGUUUCAUAACACGCUUUAAUUAAAAUUAAAUGAAUCUUAAGGCUGUCGCGAUCGAUGAAAAGGAACGGCCGCGUGUAGAGUUUGGUCUCGCAAGAACGAGUAGCGAAAGAAGAGGCCGAGGAAAAAAGGAAAAAAGAUAACGCAGAGAGAGUACAUGUGAUCGUUUUGGUUUCGACGAGUCACGCGCAAUAAUCGUUAUUUUGUACCCUGAAGAAUGAGAGAAAGUUACCCUACCGAGUCUCGCCUACGGCUGCAAUAUUUACAUCGACGCGACGCGACGCGACGCCUUCCGCUAUACCGGGAGGCUAUGAAAUGACAAACAGUGCACCGUGUGACGCUUCGAUCAUGCCUGUGGUUCGUGGUACGAGCAGGAAAAGAAGAAGAAAUCGGGAUAAAAUCGGUCGAGACGAGGAAAGACGUCAAAACGAUUAAAAACAAGCGACUUUCACGAGAUUCAGAUCAGAUGCCAAAAGGAAUUCCUGGAAUAUCGAUAGCUCGACUUCUUCGUCAGAGAAUGUAGAGUAAAAAGAACCAUCACUGAAACGGGCUAAUUGGAAAACCGGGAAAGUAGGGUUUGCUCGAUUAACGCGGACCUAACUGAAAGAAGAAGAAUCGACACGGAUUCGAACACUGUAAUUUAUCUGGAAAUCAAUUAGCCAUGGAGACUGAUGUACCGUGUAAUUUGCAUCUUUCUUUUGAAGAUAGAAAAUGUAAAUCUAAAUUCGGUGCUAUUACAGAUACUAUACUGUAAUAUUUGCGACCGAGGAAAUCUGUAGAAAAGUGGCACGAGAUAUUUUCUUCCAACAAAAAUACACUUACAUUAUUUGUCCGAUUUAAAUUUCGAGAUCAUCUUUGUUUUUAUUCUCGUGUAUCUCUGUUCUACUAAAAGAAACGAGACAUUUUCAACUGUAUCCUUCCAAUAGAAUCCCAUCGUUGCACCGUUCUCCACGAAAAGUUCACUCUGGUAUAUAGGAUCAUGGCCUCGAUAAUUCUCCUGUGACGAGCAUGCAAGGUGUUCCAAACGACGCGAGUACGAUUAAUAAUCCAAAAUGUCGUUGCUCCGUGGUCGAUGAGUGUCGAAACCGCGACUCUAUUAGAUAUGUUAAUCGCGGUUUACAUUGUGUGGAAAGCGUGCGAUUACGAUCUGUUCUUUUCUAACUUUAAUUGCUCGAUCAUCCUUUAAUUGCACGGACGAUUCGUUGGUAAGCAAAUGAUCGAGGUUUGUUUUGACGUCUUUAAUACCGUUUAUAACACUAUGAUAAAUUUAUCUUACGUUCGCGUGACAAGCACUAUUGAAUAUUUAUAUGUAAUAUUUCAUACAUCGCAUUGCUCGAUGAGAAUUCAAGCUUAUAUACAUGUAGCUACAUUUCAAUACCGUAACAACUACCAGAAUAAUCAAACCGAGCGAUUUAUACAUUUUUAAUAGAAACUUUAUAAGUUUGUAAAAAAGUCGAAUCUAAAUAGAAAUUUAUUUCAUUCGCCAAAUAUUAUAGUAAGGCAAGGCCUUUACUUUAAAUACUACGUAUAUUAUUGCGUAUUAAAUGCAUUCUGGCCAUUCGCACACUUUCAAAUGUUACAUAUCUAAACGCAUAAAUAUCUAAUCUAGUCAUAACCUAAUACCGUACUCAAAAUCAAGUCAGACAAUUCUCGUGCCUCUCAGCCAAGUUUCUUGACUCCGGUUUCUAAUCGUCGCUCUCUCACGGGCAACGCUGUGUGGAGCAUGGGUUUACCUGUCCGUUUCCACGAGAUAAGGUUCAGGCUCUGGGCCGCGCGAUAACGGCCGAUAGAUAAGCGUUGCUCUACCUCGACAGAUUAAAUCGUAGACGAGCGGGGAAAACUUCUCUACCGCCAUGGGUUAUCUGUCGUUUAUCGUGGUGGACCGUUUCCCGGAUUAAAAUCUAAAAACCGGCCGAGUUCAUGUCCGCUUCGAGAAACAUUUCUCCAACCCGGACUCGUACAGAAAAUUGAAGCCAUGAAUUCCAAAACAGCACGAUUCUAUUUUUGACGCUAGAUUACGACCCAUAUAAUUGUUUUCAGCUUGCUUAGAUUAUUUAGCUAUCUAAUAACGUUUAAAAUAAUACAGAAAUCUCAUCUCUUGAUCGUACUCUUUUCGCUUUUUCGCGUUUUUAAAUAAUCUAUUGUGUUAAGUAAUAAAAUUCGAUCGUUUCUCUCUCACUGGUAUAUGCGUUUCGAAAAGUGUCAUAAAAAUUAUUUACAAGAAGGAAUUGAAAUUUUGUCAUAAGAAAAAAUAAACAAGAUUAAUAAUAAAUAAACUUCAGAUUUUGACGCAUUUACGGGAAAAUUCCAAGUACAAAAAUACAUAAUAGAACGUAUAUAAAGUAUAGCAUCAAUCAUAAUAUUUACUAGAUAAAAGAGAUUCCACAUUUCUAAUGAAAUUCGUAAAAAUAUGAAUUUCCAUAAAUGUCCGCAGUAUAACAACGAAUUAAAGAAGAUAAAUAAGAACUGAUUUUUGCGAAAUAUCGAUUAGUGAACUUGCGCAGUUUUGAAAUUCAUAGCGUUGAUUAUGCUGCAGAAAUAGUGCGCGUCUAAUUAAACGAGCGCGUAACAGAACCGUUGCAAGAGAUUGUUCAGAGUUUAAUCGCGAUCGCGAUUAAAAGUCUAGUUGGAUGUCGAUUUCUUUUUAGUCGGUCGCGUACAUGGAAACCGCUUGUAUUUAUACAUAUGUACAUUCUACGGUUAAAGAGGUUCAAUGCGUGGAAGCCGCAAGAGAGAGCUCUCGAUUCAAUCGCGCGUAACUGAACGUUUCGUUGGUUUUGUUGCUCACGACUAUUCAUCGACGAUCAUCGUAAUUUCAUCCCCGGAUACGAGGAGGAUGACAGUGAUCGAACGCUAUGGGAUUCAUUGUUCUCGGCACACUUCGAUCUAUCGUUUAAUUCUUCUAAUAGUUUCAUUGCUCGAAUUUCUUUUUCUUUCUUUUUGAUAAUUUAGAGCUAGUUGCGAGAUAAAAUCGAGCAAGAUUGAAUAUAUUCAUUGGGCAAAAGUGUUAGAUCAAGUACGUUAUUGAUCUUGUAACGUCGAUUCGAUAUGAACGUGCAGACUGCUUCUAGAUGUUGUUACAUAGGAUGGAAUCUAAUUCUUCGGACAUUGAUUCGCUGAAUAGUACUGCGAUAAAUGGAGUCCUGGCCUAAAUCUUACAAAACACAUAUGAAACACAUUGAAACAUAAAUUGAAGAAAGAAUCACAGAAAAUGCGAAGCGAGUUUAUCAAAAAAUUAUUCGGUAGAAUUUUUAAAAAAUUGUUGUUGUUGAAACUGAAAACGGUACGUACAUUUAUCGAUACGUAUCAACCUAGCCUAAUGUAUAUUAUCUCAACUGAAAACUAUGAUACUGAAUAGACGCAAACUUUUAUGACUUUUUUUGUGGUCUCUAUGACGCACUUUUACGAACGUGAACAACACAACCAUAACUAAUCACAUUUGAAAAAGAAAACGUAAUAUUACAUCAGCAACUCCGGAAGUGUUAAAUUUAAGUUCCCAUACAGUAUAUGAAUGGGAGGUUCUAAUUUCCCUGAUGUAGUCUGUUUGUGGUAUUCAGUUGAUUAGCUGGACCGCACAGACCCGCCAGUCGUCGGUCAAAGAUACUGAUAAGAACGUACGUCUAUCAGCGGAUGGAAUUAACUAUGGA